GUAGGUGGCAAGCGUUGUCCGGAAUUAUUGGGCGUAAAGCGCGCGCAGGCGGUUCUUUAAGUCUGAUGUGAAAGCCCACGGCUCAACCGUGGAGGGUCAUUGGAAACUGGAGAACUUGAGUACAGAAGAGGAAAGCGGAAUUCCACGUGUAGCGGUGAAAUGCGUAGAGAUGUGGAGGAACACCAGUGGCGAAGGCGGCUUUCUGGUCUGUAACUGACGCUGAGGCGCGAAGGCGUGGGGAGCAAACAGGAUUAGAUACCCUGGUAGUCCACGCCGUAAACGAUGAGUGCUAAGUGUUAGGGGGGUUUUCCGCCCCCCUUAGUGCUGCAGCUAACGCAUUAAGCACUCCGCCUGGGAGUACGGCCGCAAGGCUG
rnacentral:rRNA from 1 species